GCCGGGUGCGGUGGCGCGCGCCUGUAAUCCAAGCUACCGGGAGGCUGAGGCUGGCGGAUCGUUUGAGCUCAGGAGCUCUGAGCUGCAGCGGACUAUGCCGAUCGGGUGUCCGCACUAAGUUCGGUAUCGAUAUGGUGUUCCUGGGGAAGCCUGGGACCACCAGGUCGCCUAAGGAGGGGUGCACCGGCCCAGGUCGGAAACGGAGCAGGUCAAAGCCCCCGUGCCGCUCAGUAGUGGGAUCGCGCCUGUGAAUAGACGCUGUAGUGCAGCCUGAGUAAUACAGCGAGACCCAGUCUUUU
rnacentral:SRP_RNA from 1 species